UACGAAGGGUGCAAGCGUUAAUCGGAAUUACUGGGCGUAAAGGGUGCGUAGGCGGUUCGUUAAGUCUGUCGUGAAAUCCCCGGGCUCAACCUGGGAAUGGCGAUGGAUACUGGCGAGCUAGAGUGUGUCAGAGGAUGGUGGAAUUCCCGGUGUAGCGGUGAAAUGCGUAGAGAUCGGGAGGAACAUCAGUGGCGAAGGCGGCCAUCUGGGACAACACUGACGCUGAAGCACGAAAGCAUGGGUAGCGAACAGG
rnacentral:rRNA from 1 species